rnacentral:lncRNA from 1 species
CAGGUGAGGUGGCAGGUGCCUGUAGUCCCAGCUACUCGGGAGGCUGAGGCAGGAGAAUGGCGUGAACCCGGGAGGCGGAGCUUGCAGUGAGCUGAGAUCCGGCCACUGCACUCCAGCCUGGGUGACAGAGCUAGACUCUGUCACCAAAAAAAAAAAAAAAAAAAAAAAAAGAAAAGAAACACAUGAAAGAUAAAGGAAGUUGUGUAGAGUUUGGGAAGUAAUCCUAGGAAAUACCUGUGGGGUAGUAGGAAAAUUGGAUAGGGAGCGGGUGUGUUAUACAACCAGUUACCACUAUAGAAAAUGGAGUCUGAUCUUACUAGGAAUUUCUGGGAAAUAGUGGAGGACACUCCUUAGAAUUAUCUCAACUAAGCAGAUGGGAAGCUGGGGUAUUUAUACACCAACUCAUCAUCUAUCAGUGGUUAAAGCCUGUUUCUGAAGGCAUCAACACUGAAAUUGCUUUGUGUGCAGACAAACUGUACUCCUAAGGCCAGAGAGUCCCAGGCAGUUGUGGGAAGCCCCAUCAGUGUACUGAGCAUACUUGUAUACACUUAUGCUGAUGAGACCAUGAAUUUCUUCCUCUUUUGUAUUUCCAAGAGGGAUGACCACACAGUAAGUAUUUAAUAAUUAUUUGUUGAGUAAAUGCUUACAUAACUAAAUGAUAUUGCAUGGCACCAAAAACAUCUUUGUUAUUUGAGUAAAUCACAGGUUAGAAA